GCGAAAGCGAGUUUUAACUGAGCGUUCAGUUACUUGACGUAGACCCGAAACCGGGCGACCUACCCAUGAGCAGGAUGAAGCGAAAGUAAAAUUUCGUGGAGGUCCGAACCCACGAGCGUUGAAAAGCUCGGGGAUGACUUGUGGGUAGCGGGGAAAUUCCAAUCGAGCCCGGAGAUAGCUGGUUCUCCCCGAAAUAGCUUUAGGGCUAGCCUCAAGGUGAGAGAUACGGAGGUAGAGCACUGAAUGUCCUAGGGGGUAUUGCACCUACCGAAGACUAUCAAACUCCGAAUGCCGUCAUCUUAUACUUGGGAGUCAGACUGUGGGUGAUAAGAUUCAUAGUCGAAAGGGCAACAGCCCAGAUCGUCAGCUAAGGUCCCUAAAUGUAAGUUAAGUGGUAAAGGAUGUGGGAUUGCACAGACAACCAGGAUGUUGGCUUAGAAGCAGCCACUCAUUCAAAGAGUGCGUAAUAGCUCACUGGUCGAGUGAUCC
rnacentral:rRNA from 1 species